GCGUUUGUAUAAGUCAGAUGUGAAAGCCCGGGGCUCAGACCUCGGAAUUGCAUUUGAAACUGUGCAGACUAGAGUACUGUAAAGGGGGGUAGAAUUUCAGGUGUAGCGGUGAAAUGCGUAGAGAUCUGAAGGAAUACCGGUGGCGAAGGCGGCCCCCUGGACAGAUACUGACACUCAGAUGGGAAAGCGUGGGGAGCAAACAGGAUUAGAUACCCUGGUAGUCCACGCCCUAAACGAUGUCUACUUGGAGGUAUGUGGCCUUGAGCCGUGGCUUUCGGAGCUAACGCGUCUAAGUAGACCGCCUGGGGAGUACGGUCGCAAGAUUAAAACUCAAAUGAAUUGACCCGGGCCCGCACAAGCGGUGGAGCAUGUGGUUUAAUUCGAUGCAACGCGAAAUGCCCUUACCUACUCUUGACAUCCAGAGAACUUUUCCAAAGAUGGAUUGGUGCCCUUCGGGAACUCUGAAACAGGUGCUGCAUGGCUGUCGGACUCUCGG
rnacentral:rRNA from 1 species